UCGUUUCAUUGUCUAGGGUUUUGAGAAUAUAUAUUGCAUCUAUCCAUCAUCUUGUGUCACCUCUCUCAGCAGGAUUAGGGUUUUGAGCAAAAAGGAGUGAUGAGAGCUAAGUGGAAGAAGAAGCGUAUGAGGCGGUUGAAGAGGAAGAGACGAAAGAUGAGACAGCGAUCUAAAUAGACACAUCUACUUACCCCCGCUAGUCUUUCGGUUUCUCCCCUUUUCUCCAUUUGUGUUUCGUUUGCUUCAGUUCUUUUGUCUUUUCCGGAUUUUGAUACUACUUUUGUUGUAUUAAGUUGCAAGUUUUUUGCUGUUGGAUUAAUGGAUUUUUCAAUUAACGUUAAGCUUUUACUUACUUUGUCAA